rnacentral:sRNA from 1 species
UUGAAAUGAUGAAAAAUUGGUUUUCACUGCUACACAGAAAGAAUCUUUCAGCAGGGGUAUAUAUUGGGAAAGAUUGUUCUUUUAUUAGAUAUUUAUUUGCGUGUGCUUAUCCAUGGGAAUCAUCUGCUCAGGUCAGCUAUGUACUAGGAGGGGUAGCAAGGAAUGUUGCUGAGUGCAUAUCAAA